ACGAACGCUGGCGGCGUGCUUAACACAUGCAGGUCGAACGAUGAAGAAGAGAAACGCGAACUUCGGUUCAAAUUUCACUUCGGAUUAGUGGCAGACGGGUGAGUAACGCGUGAGCAACCUACCUCUUACAAAGGGAUAGCCUCGGGAAACCGUGAUUAAUACCAUAUGACACAUUCAUAAGGCAUCUUAAGAAUGUUAAAGCUACGGCGGUAAGAGAUGGGCUCGCGUCCCAUUAGCUAGUUGGUGAGGUAACGGCCCACCAAGGCGACGAUGGGUAACCGGCCUGAGAGGGUGAACGGUCACAUUGGAACUGAGACACGGUCCAAACUCCUACGGGAGGAAGCAGUGGGGAAUAUUGCACAAUGGAGGGAACUCUGAUGCAGCGACGCCGCGUGAGCGAUGAAGGAAUUCGUUUCGUAAAGCUCUGUUCUAUGGGAAGAAAAGGACUGUACCAUAGGAGAAAGCCCCGGCUAAAUACGUG
rnacentral:rRNA from 1 species